GUACUUGCUUAGGGCAGCACAUAUACUAAAACUGGAAUGAUACAGAGAAGAUUAGCAUGGCCCCUGCUCAAGGAUGACAUGCAAAUUCAUGAAGUGUUCCAUAUUUUU
rnacentral:snRNA from 1 species